rnacentral:rRNA from 1 species
UACGUAGGGCGCGAGCGUUGUCCGGAAUUAUUGGGCGUAAAGAGCUCGUAGGCGGCUGGUCGCGUCUGUCGUGAAAUCCUCUGGCUUAACUGGGGGCGUGCGGUGGGUACGGGCCGGCUUGAGUGCGGUAGGGGAGGCUGGAAUUCCUGGUGUAGCGGUGGAAUGCGCAGAUAUCAGGAGGAACACCGGUGGCGAAGGCGGGUCUCUGGGCCGUGUACUGACGCUGAGGAGCGAAAGCGUGGGGAGCGAACAGGAUUAGAUACCCUGGUAGUCCAUGCUGUAAACGUUGGGCACUAGGUGUGGGGGGUCUUUCCGGGUCUUCCGCGCCGUAGCUAACGCAUUAAGUGCCCCGCCUGGGGAGUACGGCCGCAAGGCUAAAACUCAAAGGAAUUGACGGGGGCCCGCACAAGCGGCGGAGCAUGCGGAUUAAUUCGAUGCAACGCGAAGAACCUUACCAAGGCUUGACAUGGGCCGGUGGUUCCCGGAGACGGGAGCGUCCCCUUUUUGUGGGCUGGUUCACAGGUGGUGCAUGGUUGUCGUCAGCUCGUGUCGUGAGAU